ensembl:lncRNA novel transcript
AUGACAGAUGAGACUUUCAUGCAAGAAAAUAAAUCCUGCACAUUUGAUGUACUGCUUUAAACUUAAAGACCUCUUUGGACCCGAAAUUGUAAGUAUCUCCAAAGAAGAGCUGGUGCAUAGCUGCCUCUCUCCUGCCCUUCACUGCUGAUCUUCCACUGCCAGGCAUCUGCAGGGGACAUUCUGGGGAAAUGACAGAGCCAGAGCCUUUGCAGCCAACACAGAGCAUGUCUUCUGGUUCACCACCUCUAUCCACCCUUCAUUCGCAGCGACACCACUUUCCCUGGAGGCCAGUGAAUGUUGUUUUUCUCUCUGUCAGUGGGGUAAUUCAACCAAGCGAGAGAGAAGUAGGAGAAGAAAACUGUGUGUGUGUGCAUGUGUGUGUGUGGCGGCGGGGCAGGGCGGUGUUUAUCAAAACGCAACAGUAAUUUGAACUAUUCAGUUCUGGUACAACAUAGAAGCAGUGUAGUGACCUCUCGAGGCUCCUUUCAGGAUUUUGGAUGUAAGAAAGGAGAAUUUUGAUUUCAAAAAAUGGCUUUGAGGUAUCUAUUCAAAUCUAAUAACUUCUGCAAAAAGAAAAAAAUAGCUUGGGACUAAAAUCUCUUUUAGAUGUCUAUUUAUUUUGUAAAUCAAACUUUGAAAACACCCUGGGGCUAUGGGUUUAGAAACGGUUCCAAAGUUCUGGGAAACACCCCCUGAUGACAAUGAGAAAUAUUCUAUGCAUUUACUGAACAGCUUCUCCCAUUGGAUCAUGAAGGCAUACUUUAACUGUGAGGUAACUGAGGCUGGGUAAGUCAGUAAUUCAUGGGGUGAUCUGCUCCUUAAAGGAGUUCUGACAUGUCUUUGGCAAAAGCUUUCAGAUGCUAUGAUGCCACUCAGAAUUCUUAGCUCAGGGAUAUAAAUCAGGUUGUAACAUGAAUAAGGUAUGUAAGAAAUCUUCCUUUCUGUUAUGAGGUAAGAGAAAAAUGAGGUUAUUUAAACAAUCCAUGUUUAUAUGAUGGCCAUCUUUUAACAAAAAUUCUUUUCAAUACAUUAAAAAUGAUCAUUGAAUCAUCAAAUGUAGUUUUGUCCUCUGAUAGACAAAAGAGUAGUGUCUAGACUGUCUGAUGAAUCUAUUUGACUGAAAGAUAAAAACAAAUGUGGUCUUGUUGUCAUCUCUGUGGCCUUCUGAAAGCCCAGUGUACAGAGGUCACACAGGGAGCCCCAAGAGGGUGGUCAGGAGGGAAAAUGAGCCCUCCACUGUGCCUACUCAUUUAAUAACACCGCCCUGGGCAGAGAGGCAAGACUGGGGGUGCUGUUUGCAGAGUCACGUCACCUUCUCCUUGUGACCUUAGAAACCAUGCUAAAUUCUUCCAUUCUGCAAUUGCCUUUCACAUAAAAUUGUUGAAUAAAAAAACCUGGAACCAGCCUGAGAGGAAAGUACAUGAUAACAUCUGCCUUUUACUUUUUAAACAUUAUUCAGAAGAUGCAAUCAAAUAUAACCUAGUUGUUAUGUGCAGUGAUUACAUUUUAAAAGUUAUGCCAAUCAUUCAUGUAGAGCUAAACACAAAAAAGGAAGCUGCAGAUGCAAUCUGUGAAGGACAUUUAGCGGCAAAUGUGCGUUUUCUUCCACUUUUUUCCUGCAAUUUAAUAUCCACUAAACUGGAUAAUGACUAAGUAUAUAUGUAUAUCUUUAGAGGCCAGUAUAUGUUGUUUCUUUGUGUUAGGUACACUUGGAGUCAAUCUUGUGACUAAGGCAGAAGUGAGAUGAUCUACGAUUCCAUUUACAAGAAUCUAAUAUGAGGCUCUAGCAUUCAUUUAGAACUUCCAUUUAUGUACCAUAAAAAAGAGGAUAUCAAGUGAAUAAAGGAAACCAUCAAAUCUUUCCUUAGCACUAGGCAGCAUUUGGAUGACAAGAGGAAUUUAGAAGGUGAGGGCUUUCUAAGUACCCACAAGGGUCAAAUGCAGUAAGUGGCAUGCUGAAUACUACAGCCAAUAUUAUCAAGCACUUUUUAUCAUUAUUGUUAUUUACAACAUACCCCUCUUAGUAGGAAUUAAAUAAAUUUUUGGAGAAUUUCAAGAUAAGUCCAUUGAACAAAAUAAAAAAUAACAGCCUGGUCUAGUGACACUGUGCCCUUUUGAAGUGACAGCACUGACAUUUUCUAGCAUUAAUGCUAUGUUUAUUCAGGUCUUGGGUUAUCAUUUCAUUGAUCAUUAUUCAGUUCCAUGAAUGAUCACUGUGCUCUUGAAAGAAAUUACGUCUUGCUUAUUG